UACGUAGGGUGCGAGCGUUGUCCGGAAUUAUUGGGCGUAAAGGGCUCGUAGGCGGUUUGUCGCGUCGGGAGUGAAAACCUUGGGCUUAACUCAGGGCUUGCUUUCGAUACGGGCAGACUAGAGGUAUGCAGGGGAGAACGGAAUUCCUGGUGUAGCGGUGAAAUGCGCAGAUAUCAGGAGGAACACCGGUGGCGAAGGCGGGUCUCUGGGCCGACAUUGACGCUGAGGAGCGAAAGCGUGGAGAGCGAACAGG
rnacentral:rRNA from 1 species